AUAGCAGUUUCCGUAGGUGAACCUGCGGAAGGAUCAUUACCGAGUUGAUUCGAGCUCCGGCUCGACUCUCCCACCCAAUGUGUACCUACCUCUGUUGCUUUGGCGGGCCGCGGUCCUCCGCACCGGCGCCCUUCGGGGGGCUGGCCAGCGCCCGCCAGAGGACCAUAAAACUCCAGUCAGUGAACUUCGCAGUCUGAAAAACAAGUUAAUAAACUAAAACUUUCAACAACGGAUCUCUUGGUUCUGGCAUCGAUGAAGAACGCAGCGAAAUGCGAUAAGUAAUGUGAAUUGCAGAAUUCAGUGAAUCAUCGAAUCUUUGAACGCACAUUGCGCCCCUUGGUAUUCCGAGGGGCAUGCCUGUUCGAGCGUCAUUUCAACCCUCAAGCUCUGCUUGGUAUUGGGCUUCGUCCUCCACGGACGCGCCUUAAAGACCUCGGCGGUGGCGUCUUGCCUCAAGCGUAGUAGAAAACACCUCGCUUUGGAGCGCACGGCGUCGCCCGCCGGACGAACCUUUGAAUUAUUUCUCAAGGUUGACCUCGGAUCAGGUAGGGAUACCCGCUGAACUUAAGCAUAUCAA
rnacentral:sRNA from 1 species